rnacentral:rRNA from 1 species
UGGUCAUUUAGAGGAAGUAAAAGUCGUAACAAGGUUUCCGUAGGUGAACCUGCGGAAGGAUCAUUAUCGAAUUAUAAGCGAGGGUUGUAGCUGGCCUCCCUUUCGAGGCAUGUGCACGCCUGAGCUCUUAAAUCCACAACACACCUGUGAACCCACCGUAGGCCUUCGGGCUUAUGUAUCAUAUACUCUGAAUGUGUCAUAGAAUGUUCAUGUUGCCUUAAAACGCAAUCAAAUACAACUUUCAACAACGGAUCUCUUGGCUCUCGCAUCGAUGAAGAACGCAGCGAAAUGCGAUAAGUAAUGUGAAUUGCAGAUUUUCAGUGAAUCAUCGAAUCUUUGAACGCACCUUGCGCUCCUUGGUAUUCCGAGGAGCAUGCCUGUUUGAGUGUCAUUAAAUCCUCAACCCCACCGAUUUGCUUCGGGGGGAUUGGACUUGGAGCGUGCUGGCGAAGGUCGGCUCCUCUUUAAAUGCAUCAGCGGAGAAGAAAGCUCGUCCCAGUGUGAUAAUCCUGUUGCGCUGUGGUGGGGUGAAAAUUCCGCUUCCAACCGUCCUCCGGGACAAGACAUCUCAAUUUGACCUCAAAUCAGGUAGGACUACCCGCUGAACUUAAGCAUAU